rnacentral:lncRNA from 1 species
AUUAUUUAUGAUGAAAAUAUUGUGUCGUAAAUAACAUAGUGUUUGCGAUGAAAACAUAUUUUCUAUCAUAAAUAGUUUAUUAUUUAUAAUAAAAAAAUUAAAAAUUGAUCAUUAUUUACGAUAAUACUUUUCAUCUCUAAGUUUCUCUGAAUCUGUUUCAUUGUUCAAUUUUGUAUACGUUGUUGGAUCUAUGGACCGACAAAAGUCACAAAGUACAAAGGCCUUGUAUCCACCCA